rnacentral:tRNA from 1 species
CGGAGCGUAGCGCAGCCCGGUUAGCGCACCUGCUUUGGGAGCAGGGGGUCGGGAGUUCGAAUCUCCCCGCUCCGA